rfam:Dipodomys ordii contig_25798, whole genome shotgun sequence.
GGUGGCUCAGUGAUAGAGUGCUUGCCUUGCAUGCAUGAAGCCCUGGGUUCAAUUCCUCAGCACCA